rnacentral:rRNA from 1 species
GACAGAGUGGCCGAGCGUUUAGGCGGAAUCACUGGGGCUUAAAAGCGUGUGUAGGCGGGGCGUUAAGUGUCUUGUGAAAUCCCAACCGGCUCACCCGGUGGAACUGCUGGACAUACUGGCGCUCUUGGAGCCACUUAGGGGCAACUGGAACAAACGGUGGAGCGGUGAAAUGCGUAGAUAUCGUUUGGAACGCCAAUGGUGAAAACAGGUUGCUGGGAGUGUGCUGACGCUGAGACACGAAAGCCAGGGGAGCGAACGGG